ACCUGAAUAGAACCAACAGGGAUUGCCUCAGUAACGGCGAGUGAAGCGGCAACAGCUCAAAUUUGAAAGCUGGCUCUUUCAGGGCCCGCGUUGUAAUUUGUAGAGGAUGCUUCGGGUGCGGCGCUGGUCUAAGUUCUUUGGAACAAGACGUCAUAGAGGGUGAGAAUCCCGUAUGUGACUGGUUGCCUGUGCCUAUGUGAAGCUCCUUCGACGAGUCGAGUUGUUUGGGAAUGCAGCUCUAAAUGGGUGGUGUACUUCAUCUAAAGCUAAAUAUUGGGUCUAGACCGAUAGCGCACAAGUAGAGUGAUCGAAAGAUGAAAAGCACUUUGGAAAGAGAGUUAAACAGUACGUGAAAUUGUUGAAAGGGAAGCGCUUGCAAUCAGACUUGCGCUGCGUCGAUCAACCUGGGUUCUCCCUGGUGCACUCGGCGCAGCUCAGGCCAGCAUCAGUUUUGGCGGCUGGAUAAAGGCCUAGGGAACGUGGGUCGCCUCGGCGACCGUUAUAGCCCUAGGUGCAAUGCAGCCUGCUGGGACUGAGGACCGCGCUUCGGCUAGGAUGCUGGCGUAAUGGUUGUAAGCGACCCGUCUUGAAACACGGACCAAGGAGUCUAACAUUUAUGCGAGUGUUUGGGUGUUAAACCCAUACGCGCAAUGAAGGUGAACGGAGGUGAGAACCCUUAAGGGUGCAUCAUCGACCGAUCCUGAUGUCUUCGGAUGGAUUUGAGUAAGAGCAUAACUGUUGGGACCCGAAAGAUGGUGAACUAUGCCUGAAUAGGGUGAAGCCAGAGGAAACUCUGGUGGAGGCUCGCAGCGGUUCUGACGUGCAAAUCGAUCGUCAAAUUUGGGUAUAGGGGCGAAAGACUAAUCGAACCAUUGAAGCCUUAUUAGGUGGUUGGGAGGCCUGUAGGCCUAGUCCCGCAGGGGCAAUACUGCAAAAUUGCGGGGACAGUUCAACAGACGCAAGCUACCACAGCAGGCUCGAAAGAGCCUGUCACGGUUAUAACGCUUUGCGCCUGAGCCGAUCCGCAGCGAGUCCCUACGGCACAUUGCUACGGGGCGCGUUCAUCGACUAGAUGGCAGUGGGUGUCAAGCGCCUAAGGUAUAGUCAGGCUGCGGCAGCGAUGGGCAGCUACCUGCAGAAGU
rnacentral:rRNA from 1 species